UACGGAGGGAGCUAGCGUUAUUCGGAAUUACUGGGCGUAAAGCGCACGUAGGCGGCUUUGUAAGUUAGAGGUGAAAGCCCGGAGCUCAACUUCGGAAUUGCCUUUAAGACUGCAUCGCUUGAAUCAUGGAGAGGUCAGUGGAAUUCCGAGUGUAGAGGUGAAAUUCGUAGAUAUUCGGAAGAACACCAGUGGCGAAGGCGACUGACUGGACAUGUAUUGACGCUGAGGUGCGAAAGCGUGGGGAGCAAACGGG
rnacentral:rRNA from 1 species